UACGAAGGGUGCAAGCGUUAAUCGGAAUUACUGGGCGUAAAGCGCACGUAGGCGGUUAGUUAAGUUGGAUGUGAAAGCCCCGGGCUCAACCUGGGAAUUGUAUUUGAAACUGGCCAACUAGAGUACGUGAGAGGGGGGUAGAAUUCCAAGUGUAGCGGUGAAAUGCGUAGAGAUUUGGAGGAAUACCAGUGGCGAAGGCGGCCCCCUGGCACAACACUGACGCUCAGGUGCGAAAGCGUGGGGAGCAAACAGG
rnacentral:rRNA from 1 species